AAGCAAACUUUGUGUAGACCCAUUUUUGGGCUCAUUUUUAUCACAUUUCUGUAGGCUUUUCUACCAGGUGGAGGGCUCUCCAGGACUCACGUGUCGCCUUGUGGUUAGCCAUCAGGGAGUCACAAUAAUGGUUAGUGGAUGCAAUGGGGAAGAGACACGUAUGAGGGAAUAUUCAGCAGAGGAGAGUUUUUUUGCAGUGAGGCCGUUAAGAGUGAGGGGGGAUUUGGGGGCUGGCUGGUGACACAGAUAUUUUGGGGGGUGGCUUGGAGAGAAAGACAUCAGGUGAGCGUUUUUUUUUGGGCUGGCUUGGAGGGGCAAGGCAGAGAGGUGUGGGAGGGGAGAUAUUUUUCUUUUCUGGAGUUGUUACAGAGGGUGAGGGAGAGGUUUUAGAGAGACUUGGGAGACAAGAUAGUGGUGGUAGGAAACUUGGGAAAGGAAGAUAGCCUGAGCUGAGAGUAUGUUGGAGAUUUGUGAGUAGGAUAACACGUGGCACAGUACCACUGGCGGUGACGGAAAACCCGUUGUCGUCUCUUCGGCGGGUGAACUAAGAAGAGGAGAUCGCGAUUGGGUGGCGAGUAGCUGUGGAGAGAGCUCUCUCCGCUGUCAAGGUUUCGCUCUUCUCCGUUUUCGUCACAUGUUUGGUUCCCAAGAAAAUAAAGGAAAAACCACGAAGAUAAAAUUAGUCAUUAUGCAAAAUUGCCAAGCUGUUUCCUUCAUUUUCUUGGCAACCAAACAGAGGUUUUAGGGCUUAACGGAGUAAAUUACGUUUUGAUGUUGUUCUCCUUCGUAGGCUGCUAAGGUGAGAUGGCCUGGUUUGUUCGACGGUGUGGAUUCGAAGUUGGAGGAUUGGAUUUUUGAUUAGAUGUUCAUAGUAGGCUAAAUUGGGAGCAGAGAAUUCAUGAAUCUUGAUGUUUUUCUCAAUGCGAGUUUCUUCGGCAAGAAGAAGUGCUUCAAUUUCUUCAACUGCAUAUGGGUCGAUUCUUGAGCUUAUUGAGAUGAUGAAUGUUUCAUAUUCUUGAAGUAAUCCUUCAAACACUGCAUUUAUAUGAUCUUUAUCAAAAAGAUUAUGGCCAACUAAAGCCAAGUGAUCAAUAAUAUUUCUAAUCUUGAAAAGGUAAUCGCUUAUAGACAGAUCACAUUUCUUUGUGUUGUGAAACUGAGUCUUGAACUGGGUUAUUUUAGCUCGUACUUGAGUGGAAAAAUAUUGUUCAAGAGUCUUCCAUACCUGAGCUGAAGUAUCACAAUUAAUCAUACGUGUUAGAAGGGCAUCUGAUAUGGAUGCAAGAAUCCAUGACAUGAUGAGUUGGUCCUGUUGCUCCCAAUCUUGAAACUUAGGAUUGAUGAGACAAUGAUGUUCAUUCAUCACUUGGAGACAUGAAUUUUGAGGGUAGAACUAUUGAUUCAGAAAGAAAAUUUUGAAGUUUACGACCUCUUAAAAUUGUUAGUAUUCGCUUUCGCCAUAUCAGAAAGUUUUUGUUGUCCAAUUUGGACGAGAUUGGAUGAGAAAAAGAAACUAGAAGGAGACUAGUGGUUCUUGCAGUGUUCUCCAUGGAGGUUAUCGAUGAAGUUUCCAUGGCUUAGGGUAGAGCAGGCUCUGAUACCAUGUUAAGGAAUAAGAGAAUCAGGAAGGAAAGAAAUUAUGAAAAGUGAAAAGAAGAAACGAUUGUUCUAACAGAAUGAGACACAGUGUGUUAUAGGUAAGGUGGUUUAGCUAUUAUUAAACUGAAGCUAACUGAUUGGCUUAAUUGUUACUAAUUACAGUUUCAAUUGGGUAGUUUUUGUCUGCAGUACUUUUGCAUGGCUUCAGUCAGAGAGAGUAGAGAUUAGUUUUUGCUCUGAUUAUCAUGAAUGGAAAUGGUUUGUUUGUUU